GCGUAAGCGCACGCAGGCGGUCUGUUAAGUCAGAUGUGAAAUCCCCGGGCUUAACCUGGGAACUGCAUUUGAAACUGGCAGGCUUGAGUCUCGUAGAGGGGGGUAGAAUUCCAGGUGUAGCGGUGAAAUGCGUAGAGAUCUGGAGGAAUACCGGUGGCGAAGGCGGCCCCCUGGACGAAGACUGACGCUCAGGUGCGAAAGCGUGGGGAGCAAACAGGAUUAGAUACCCUGGUAGUCCACGCCGUAAACGAUGUCUACUUGGAGGUUGUGCCCUUGAGGCGUGGCUUCCGGAGCUAACGCGUUAAGUCCACCGCCUGGGGAGUACGGCCGCAAGGUUAAAACUCAAAUGAAUUGACGGGGGCCCGCACAAGCGGUGGAGCAUGUGGUUUAAUUCGAUGCAACGCGAAGAACCUUACCUGGCCUUGACAUCCAGAGAACUUAUCAGAGAUGCUUUGGUGCCUUCGGGAACUCUGAGACAGGUGCUGCAUGGCUGUCGUCAGCUCGUGUUGUGAAAUGUUGGGUUAAGUCCCGCAACGAGCGCAACCCUUAUCCUUUGUUGCCAGCGGCUCGGCCGGGAACUCACAGGAGACUGCCGGUGAUAAACCGGAGGAAGGUGGGGAUGACGUCUAGUC
rnacentral:rRNA from 1 species